rnacentral:rRNA from 1 species
AGUCAAGGAUAACCUCGGGAAACUGAGGGUAAUACUUGAUAAGAAAUGUUCCCUGGAAUGAGAUAUUCCGAAAUUCGAGCUUAAGGAUGGGACUGCGGCUGAUUAGGUUGUUGUUGGAGUAAAAGCCUAACAAGCCAAUGAUCAGUAAGGGCUCUUAGCGGAGAGGCCCUGAGAAGGAAUCUGGGACACUAUUCCUAGCUUUACGGAGCGCAGCAAGUAGGGAUUUUCUGCAAUGCACGAAAGUGUGACAGAGCGAGCCAGAGUGUUUCUCUUUUUAGAGAAACUUUUGUUUGCUGUAAAAAGGCAAAUGAAUAAGGACUGGGCAAGACCGGUGCCAGCCGCCGCGGUAAUACCGGUGGUCCAAGUCGCAGCCACAAUUAUUGGGUCUAAAACAUCCGUAGCUUGUUCUGCAAGUCUCUUGUGAAAUCUUACAUCUCAAGUGUAAGGCGGGCAAGAGGUACUGCAGGGCUAGAGACCGGAAGACGUAGCGAGUACAAUUGAGGUAGUGGUAAAAUACGUUAAUCUUGAUUGGACUAACAAUGGCGAAGGCACGCUACGAGGACGGAUCUGACAGUGAGGGAUGAAGGCUAGGGGCGCAAAACGGAUUAGAUACCCGUGUAGUCCUAGCAGUAAACACUGCACACUAAACAUUAGUAUCUCCUCGAGAGAUAUUGGUGCUGUAGGGAAGCCGAAGAGUGUGCUACCUGGGAAGUAUAGCCGCAAGGCCGAAACUUAAAGGAAUUGGCGGGGG